ACCCCAUGGUGAGGACAGGCGGCCACGUAUCCUGCAGUCGUUCCCAUGCUUCAGGAAUGGACUCGUCUCUUGUCUGCUGGAAACUUGAAAUCCUUCCACGAUGGGC
rnacentral:snoRNA from 1 species